UAGUCCUAGCCCUAUGAUCAGUUAACACUUAAUUUAUACAUGCAAGUCUCCGCACUCCUGUGAAAACGCCCUUAAAACCCUUCUAGGGAUAAGGAGUUGGUAUCAGGCACAAUUUUUUAGCCCAAAAUACCUAGCUACGCCACACCCACACGGGAACUCAGCAGUAACUAAUAUUGAAAAUAAGCGACAGCUUGACUCAGUUAAAGUAAAAAGAGCCGGCCAAUACGGUUCCAGCCGCCGCGGUUAGACCCCAAGGCUCAAAUUGAUUUUCUUCGGCGUAAAGCGUGUUUAAAGUCAUUAAUGAUUUAUAGCUAAACUAACACUAAGCUGUGACACGCUUGUACUUAGGAAAAUCAAAAUGAAAGUUGCUGUAAUUAAAACAACUUGAGUCCACGACAGUUGGGGCCCAAACUGGGAUUAGAUACCCCACUAUGCCCAACCGUAAACUUUAAAUUACAUCCCUCAUCGCCUGGGAACUACGAGCAAAGCUUAAAACCCAAAGGACUUGACGGUACCCCACAUCCACCUAGAGGAGCCUGUCCUAUAAUCGAUAAUCCCCGCUUAACCUCACCAUUUUUAGCCUAUCAGCCUGUAUACUUCCGUCGUCAGCUUACCCCGUGAGUGACCCUUAGUGAGCUCAAUGCCAUACCAAUUCGCCAAUACGUCAGGUCAAGGUGCAGCAGAUAAAGUGGAAAGAGAUUGGCUACACUCUCUAAUCUAGAAAAUACGAAAGACUAUCUAUGAAACCUAGUCAGAAGGCGGAUUUAGUAGUAAAAAGAGACAAGAACGCUCUUUUUAAUAAGGCACUGGGGUAUGUACAGACCGCCCGUCACCCUCUUCAAAGCUAAUAUAUAGUUUUUGACACACCUAAGCAAUAUAGAAGAGGUAAGUCGUAACAUGGUAAGUAUACCGGAAGGUGUGCUUGGACA
rnacentral:ncRNA from 1 species